AUGCCGGGGCGCAGAGGCUUCGCCGCCUUCCGGGUGCCCUUCGGCGGCGGGGCCGCUUCCCGCAGGGCCGGGCUCGCUGGGGGAGGAAGAAGAGCGCGGCCACGUCCCACCCCUCCCUUCCUGCAAAUCCCCGCUCGCACUGCAAACAAUCUGCCUUCCCCAUUGCAUCCAAGGGAGAUAGCAACAGCAACAUCAUCACGGCAAGCCGGAUGGGAGAGCGGAGAGGAGGCUGCUGCUGAGGGAGGAAGGCACACACGCACACACCAGCUCGAUGUUGCCAAAGCGGUAGGAACCGCACGAAAAAUAAGCCAUGCUGCCCCAUGUGUCUGGCGCAUUGUGCUCCAUCCGAGCCUUUUAGGAGGAAGAAGAGAAUUAUCUGCUCCGAUUUUUUUCCCCUGCCAGCGAGAGUGCGACAGACUUGCGAUGGUUGAAUGUCAAUGCCUGUGAGAGAGAGCAACAGUGAGAGCAGGAGGAGGACAGAAGGGGAGGAAAAUGAAGGUGGGGACGGUGGAGGAGAGAAAGAAGGAGCCUCGUCCAAUGCAUCAAAAGGAGGUCCCUGCAAUUGCUGAUAGAGCCCUGACCACCUCGCCAUCCACAAUGGUCUGUACAAGCUGCCAAUGCGUUUGAUGACGUUCCUGUUUUGUGAAAGGAGGAAACGUGACCAUGUAAGAUCCACGUUUCCCCGGUCAAUUACAUGCGAAGAAUAGAUCCGAUUUCGACGUGGGUUUCUGGUCCAGGAUGGUAACAGCUUAGGGAAUAAUACAGCCGCCUUCCCUCAUCAAUUUCGACCUGAUUUUUUUUUUUUUUUUUUUUUUUUUUUUUUUUUUUUUUUUUUUUUUUUUUUUUUUUUUUUUUUUUUUGUGUGGUCCAGACAGCUGCUGGAAUAGAGAAGGUCAGAAUAUAUAAAUAUAUAUAAAAUAUAUAUGAUAUAUAUAUUAUAUAUAUAAAAAUAUAUUUGUCUCAGUACAUCUGGGAUUAAGCUCAUUGAAUGCUAAUUAUUUCUUUCCGGACUUCUAAUAUUUACAAUGAAAUCUUUUAAAGGCGACGGUAAAAUCUGAAGCCACCUGGGAGCACAGUGUUGAAAACGUAGGGUGUUUUCCCACAAACAAUGUGAAGGUCUUUUUUGUCAAAGAGGCAAUUUUGAUAAUAACAACGGCUACCAAUUUUGCAUUUUGAUAGCUAGACCAGCUGCUAUUUUGUCUGGAUGCACACCGGGAUUCGUGUGAUCGGAUUUUAUUUUUUAUUUGAAGAAAAAAUUAUUAUAAAAUAGAAGAAAAAGGAAAAUUACUUGAGAUGCCAAAUACUGUCGAGAGAACCAUAUUCUCUCUCCUCCCCACACCCACUGGAGACGUGGACCCUUCUUUUUUACAGGCUUAGGAGUUGCGAGAGCAGAUCGGGGGCUUUCUCCCGAGACCGCCGCCUGCGCCCCUGGACCCUCGGGCGUGGG
rnacentral:lncRNA from 1 species